rnacentral:rRNA from 1 species
AUGUUGCGGACCUUUUCUGAUUGCAUGGCACAGAAGCAUCCGAUAUCUGUGAUCACAGAUGGGGACCUUGCAAUGCAGAGAGCAAUAAGGGUGGUCUGGCCAGACUCAAACCAUAGACUAUGUAUAUGGCACAUUCAGCAGAACAUUGUAUGCCAUCUGCAUGAUGACGAUGUAAAGGAGGAAUUCAGAUCUUUCAUUUAUGAUACUUCUUCCAUUGAAGAGCAUGAGAUAAAAUGGAUGCAAUUCUUACAACGGAAUAAAGUAACCAGUGAGGAGUCUUGGCUGCAUCAGAUGUAUCAGAUGAGAAAGUUGUGGUGUGCUCCAUAUCUUGAGAGGCGUUGUUUCCUAGGAUUGAGCAGCAAUCAAAGGAGUGAGAGCUUGAACUCUGUGCUACAUACGCAUCUUGAGGGUAAGAUGUCGUUGUUUGAAAUGCUAGAGCACUAUGAGCGUUGCCUUGCAUCGCGACGGAUUAACGAAGCUCUCCAUGAUGUCGAAGCCUUGCAGUCUGUUCCAUUUAUAGAGGAAAAUGCUUCGCCGCUUGAGAAACACGCCGCAACAGUUUUCACACCUAGGGUCUUUAAGAUGGUCUUAUGGAGCGUAGAUGCUGUCAGCAAAUGUCAGAUUAGAGAGAUACUAGAUGGAUCAUAA